GCCAGGGAUGGUGUGCAUGCCUGAAGUCCCAGCUCCCUGGGAGGCUGAAGCAGGAGGAUUGCUUGAGCCCAGGAGUUCAGAUCAGCCUGGGCAACAUGUGAGAAGAACCUGUCUCAA
rnacentral:sRNA from 1 species